rnacentral:rRNA from 1 species
CCUACGGGAGGCUGCAGUGGGGAAUCUUGCGCAAUGGGCGAAAGCCUGACGCAGCAACGCCGCGUGCGGGAUGAAGGCCUUCGGGUUGUAAACCGCUUUCAGCAGGGACGAAGAUGACGGUACCUGCAGAAGAAGCCCCGGCCAACUACGUGCCAGCAGCCGCGGUAACACGUAGGGGGCGAGCGUUGUCCGGAUUUAUUGGGCGUAAAGAGCUCGUAGGCGGUUCCGUCAGUCGGGUGUGAAAACUCUGGGCUCAACCCAGAGACGCCACCCGAUACUGCGGUGACUAGAGUCCGGUAGGGGAGUGCGGAAUUCCUGGUGUAGCGGUGAAAUGCGCAGAUAUCAGGAGGAACACCAACGGCGAAGGCAGCACUCUGGGCCGGUACUGACGCUGAGGAGCGAAAGCGUGGGGAGCGAACAGGAUUAGAUACCCCUGUAGUC